GACUCUUUUAAUGGCCUAAGAAUAUGAGGCCAUCUUUGGAGGACAUGGAAAUCUUAUCCGGUUCUCUUUGGAUCUUGAAUCACAAGAAUGAAGGGGAAAACUCACAAAAGAUGGUUCAUGAUCAGAGAUUCAGAGGUAAAGAAGAUGGCUGUUUGUUUUUUCUUGGCUUCCUUUGCUUCUAGGAUUGGUUCACCUUUCCUGUGGUAACACACUUGUCAAAGAUCGGGGCUCCGACCUGAUAAAUUGAAUAUCACUUCCUAUCAGGCCAUCAUCAAGCAUGACUGCAUGAGGUAAGUACAAGGUAACAAGCUUUUGUUAUCUUCUCUUCCAUAUGGAUGUGCCCCUUUGUCUGAAUCUGUCAAUUCAUCCAGUGCAACAGUGUAAAACAUCACUAUCCGGAAGACCAAUUGGAUCAACACCGAGCAUGUUGAGGUCGUUUUGACUGAACUGGACGUGGUUUACUGAUCUACAUGGAGGGAGGACUCUGGCUGCCUGUCUGUGAUCUGAGUGGCUACCUCGAUCAAUAAUGCUACUGAGAGAGCCCCCACACUGAAAUCAGAGGCCCGUUGGCCCCUACACAAAGAUUGGUUUCUUUCUUUUCGUAUACGGCGGGGAGAUUCGUGCCCGGCAACUCCCA
rnacentral:lncRNA from 1 species